rnacentral:pre_miRNA from 2 species
GUGGCAGCAAGAAAAAUGAGGGACUUUCAGGGGCAGCUGUGUUUUACUAACCCAGUCAUAAUGCCCCUAAAAAUCCUUAUUGUUCUUGCAAUGUUCAA